rnacentral:rRNA from 1 species
CAGUAGCCGCGGAAUACGGAGGGGGCUAGCGUUGUUCGGAAUUACUGGGCGUAAAGCGCACGUAGGCGGCUUGGUAAGUUAGAGGUGAAAGCCCGGAGCUCAACUCCGGAAUUGCCUUUAAGACUGCCGAGCUAGCAGGUGAGAGAGGUAAGUGGAAUUCCGAGUGUAGAGGUGAAAUUCGUAGAUAUUCGGAAGAACACCAGUGGCGAAGGCGGCUUACUGGCUCAUACUGGACGCUGAGGUGCGAAAGCGUGGGGAGCAAACAGGAUUAGAUACCCCUGUAGUCCCUGUCUCUUAUACA